rnacentral:lncRNA from 1 species
AAUGACUACAUACGGAACAAAAAUGAGUGAAUCUACACUCAAAAUAUGUCUAUAUAUAUCCGUAUGUGAUAGUCCAUUUGAAAUCACUAAAAAGAUAAAUAUUUAGGAACAGAGGGUAGUAAUCAUGAAAAAGUACUGAUGAAAUUAAGACAUGUGACUCAUGAAAUCACGAAAAAGACAUAAUUUGUGCAAUGUACAUACACAUAUAGUUGCAGAAAUACUAGUGACCCAGCACGACUCAACCAAUAAAGUUAAAUGAAAAUUAUCGCAAGAAAUUCCUAAAAAGGAAUACUAGAGAAGUUAACUGUCACUAAAUCGAGUCACCCAAAAAAUACAUGGAAAUCAUUUGGGAGCCGGUAUCUUCAAAAAAAGAAAAGAAAUAGGAUUACAGUGCUUCAAUUUUAUUUAUUUUCUUGAAUCAAACUUUAUGUUCAUAGAUCCAGCGUUGCAAUGGAUCCAGGAUCUCAAAUGGAAGACACCACAAGUUCUAAAUUCUGAAGGUGUGAUUGUCCUUACAUACCUUCUGUGAACAAAGAAUUUUUGAAGGAAAAAAAAAAUCAUCUCCCAUAUCUAGCACACAUUUUCUUUUUUGCUACAAUAAUUGUUCUCGCCACCCUACCCCUGCCAGGAACUCCGUGAUGCCCAGUAGAAACACUCACAUGAUCUGUACACCUAAGCAAAAAAAGAUAAGUUAUUCCUUUAAUGCAUUAUUUUUUACAACUGCAGAGAUGAUAAUAAAACAGACGAAUGACUAUUUAUGAGGAAACAUAAAACUUCAGCAAGAAAAAAACAAUUUCAGGUCUAUUCUGCACCAGCUUGGCAAAAUCUUCGCCAUAAAAGGGUGGCAUAUUUUUGCUACACAUCUUAUCAAGUCCAUCCCGUUCGAUCAUUUUCAGAAGUCAUUUGGAUUGUAACUUUACGCAAGCAUCCUAUUGUCAAGGGCCUCAGUGCCCAAGACAGCAGGACCUCGACUACGUAGUUCGUAGUCGCGGUGGAUAGGAGCGCUAGGGUUUUUGCCUGGCUGCUCUAUGAUGCGGGAGGGGAAGAUAGAAGGAAAUAACUUUAUUGCUUAUCCCUAAAGGGUGCUAACUAUCUGAUAUAUAAAGGCCCCAUGGGCUAAUAACAAACUAGAAACCUAUACGAAAUAAACUAGUCUAGGAACUAAUGUGCCCGGAUCAGGACUCCUGUCCAGCCUGCGCCUUGCCUGAUGCGGCCGUCGGCUGCUCCUGGCCGCGCGGCCCACGUCUGUAAGACGUGCCCCACAUGACAUCUCUCCCCCCCUCGACGAGCAGCUCGUCCUCGAGCUGAAAAGCGGGGUAGCGCUCGACGAAACUGUCAAGAUCCUCCCAUGUAGCUGACGAAGCUGCUUCACCCUUCCAGUGGACGAGUAGCUGGCGAACGCCGCGUGCUAGGCGCGCACGAGUCACGCGCUCUGGUUCUGGAACAGCCGCCCCGUUGUGGAUCGAAGGCAAUCCCGGCGGUGUAGUUGGAGGAAUGCCGAAGAACUUCUUGAGGAGGCCCACGUGGAACACGUCAUGGAGGCGCGAGCGUGCCGGAAGCUCAAGACGGUAUGCCACGUCGUUGAUCACUUCUGAAAUGCGGUACGGCCCAUAGAAUCGUGGCUUGAGCUUGCCCCUGGUUGGCAAGUUGAGAGAGGACGCGGCGCGCUGUCGAAGGCGAAGCCAAACCCAAUCGCCCACCUCAUGCCGAAUGUCCCGAUGACGUCUGUCGUAGUAGGACUUAUAGACCGCCUGUGCCUGUCGUAGACGAUAGCGGACGUCCUCGAUAAGUUCGUCGCGCUCAGCCAUGCUCCUGGCCACUGCAGCCACCCGUGUGUCGCCGGGCUCGUAAGAGCGAAUAGUGGGAGGGUCACGGCCAUACACAAGCUUGAACGGAGUCUCUUGGGUUGCUGUAUGGUAGGCGGUGUUGUAUAUGUACUCAGCCCAGGGAAGCCACCGGAGCCACUGCUUGGGACGAUCCCCGGUAAGACACCGUAAAUACAUCACAAUGAUCUUGUUAGCAGCCUCCGUUUGACCAUCCGACUGCGGGUGAAAUGCUGACGUCAUGUGCAGCUUUGUCCCCGUGAGGCGCAUGAGCUCUCGCCAAAAAGCGGAGGUGAAGACGGGGUCGCGGUCAGAGACCAUGGACUGCGGCACGCCAUGGAGACGAACAACCUCAGCGAAGAACACCUGUGCCACUGACUCUGCCGUGUAUGGGUGGGCUAACGCCACAAAAUGGCAAUACUUGCUGAAGCGAUCCACCACGGUGAGGAUGACAGACUUCCCGCCUACUCGAGGAAGCGCUUCCACGAAGUCGAUGCCGAUGUCAGUCCACACGCCCGUGGGUACCGGCAGCGGCAGUAGCAGCCCAGCGGGGUGCAAGUGCUCGGACUUGUACCGCUGGCAAGUACCGCAAGUGCGGACGUACUCCUGCACCGUCUUGCGAAGGUUAGGUGCGUGGAAAUCGCGGCGGAGACGAUGCAAUGUGCGUAGGACGCCUUCAUGCCCAUCAUCGUGCACGGCACUGAGAAUCUCCUGGAGUAGCGGGGAUGACGGCGGAAUGUAGAGGCGGCCGUUGAAAGUAACGAGGCUGUCGGAGAGCGCCCAAGGCUGUUGCCGCGCACCUGCCGUGAUAUCCUCCCGCAGUGUGACGAGCGUCGGAUCAGUGGACGUCGCUUGCCGGAGGCGAUUGAUGAAGUCGAAACGAGGCCCUGAGACCGCCAUGAUCGUCGUCUCCUCCGUGUCACGGCGGGAAAGUGCAUCCGCCACCGUGUUGGUACUACCUGCCUUGUACUCCACCGUAAAGUCGAAUCCCAGGAGUUUGCCAACCCAAUGAUGCUGCGGGAUGGUGGCCAAACGCUGGUCAAGCAGAAAUUUGAGGCUGUAAUGAUCCGUUUUUACAACAAACUGACGCCCCCAUAGGUACGGCCUCCAAUGGCGAAUCGCGAGCACCAGGCCGAUGAGUUCCCGUUCCGCGCGCGCCGAGCGUGGUUGCGGCCAGUCCGCCACUGCCUGCACCUUUUCCGGAUCCAUGGCCACGCCUGCAGCGGAGAUGGUGUGACCCAGGUAUGCGAUUGAUUCAACGGCGAACGCGCAUUUGGAGCGCUUGACGAAGAGCCGGUGCUGGUGCAGGACCGUGAAGACGGUGCGCACAUGUCGGAGAUGGUCAGCCCAUGUCUCGCUGAAAAUGAGGAUGUCGUCAAAGAAGACGAGAACAAAACGGCGCAGGUAUGGCCGCAGCAGAUCAUUCAUGAGGGCCUGGAACGUGGCCGGCGCGUUGCAGAGUCCGAACGGCAUCACCAGAAACUCGUAGAGGCCGUCAUGAGUACGGAAAGCUGUCUUCGGGAUGUCCUCCGCACGCAUCCGCACCUGGUGGUAGCCGGAACGUAAAUCGAGCUUGGUGAAGAAACGAGCGUGCCGUAGCUCGUCGAGGAGUUCGUCCACCACCGGAAUCGGGAACGCAUUCUUGACAGUAAUGGCGUUCAGGGCGCGAUAAUCGAUGCAGAAGCGCCAGGACCCGUCGGCCUUGCGGACCAGCAGUACCGGGGACGAGAAUGCGGAACAACUCGCACGGAUGAUACCUUGGGCGAGCAUGGCGGCGCACUGACGCUCCAGCUCGUCCUUGUGCGCGGCCGGGUAUCGAUACGAACGGACGGCCACCGGGGCGGAACCAGGUAGCAGGGUGAUGCCGUGAUCGCGGUUGCGGGGCGGUGGCACGCCGGAGGGGUCGGCGAAGAUGCCGUCGAACUCGGUGAUGAUGGCGUCCAGGAAGUCGCGGCCGCUGCAUGAUUUUAGGGCUGGCCCGUCCGGUCCUGCAAUGCCGUGCCAGCACACCCGAUGGCCCCGCCGCCAGAAUGUCAUGGAGAGGGCUCGGAAAUCCCACAGGAUCGGUCCGAGCGACGCCAGCCACUGCGUGCCCAGGACGAUGUCGUAGCCCGCGAGCGGCAAGGCGAGGAAAUCCUCCGCGAACUCCUCGUGGCCGAUGCGGAAGGGCACGACGCGGUACGCGCCUUGGCACGGAACGCGUUCGCCGUUGGUCACCGUGACGCGCAUCUUCUCUGUGGUGGGGGGUGGUAACGUAGCACGAGCGGCCGCCUCUUCGGCGAUGAAGUUGUGGGUGGAGCCUGAAUCGAUCAGGGCGAGGAGGGAGACACCUCCGAGAGUAAUCUGCAUCUGCAUGGUUUCACUCGUGCGCACGCCGGCGAUCGCGUGGAGCGAGAUUUGAGGGUCGGCCCGCGAUGCAUCAUCAGUGGCGGAGGCCGCGUCGUCGUCGUCGUCGUCCGGCGCUAAGUCGAGGAGAAAGAUGCGCUGGCACACGCGGUUGUGGCCCCUGCCAAACUUCUCGUUACAGUUGAAGCAAAGGCCCAGGCGACGGCGUUCCUCCAUCUCUGUCUGGGAGAGACGCUUGAUUGGGCGUCCGUCCGGCAGAUUGUGGCCCUGCUGAGGUGCGGCUGGUGGGGCCGGAGCGGGGGGCGCGAGGCGUGGUCCUGGUGUCGGCAGGAUGCCCUUCUGUGGAAAACGCACCGGUGGCGCGGUGGAAAGCGCGCACUGGUCGCGCAGCUCCAAUUUGCGGGCGAGGCUCAUGGCGACGGCGAGGGACUGUGGGUUAUGGAUCUCCACGUCGAGGCUGAGGGGUGGCUGGAGUCCCGCGGUGAAGAUCUGCACUUUCUGUGUCUCGGAUAAGGUGCCUGCCCGGGGAAGGAGUGCCUCAAACCGCUCCUGGAAGUCGACGACGGACGUCGUGCGUUUGCACGCCAUUAGUUCGCCCAGCGGGUUAGCGCGCAGCGGUGGCCCGAAGCGGAGAUUGAGCAGCUCGGAGAAGCGGCGCCACGGAGGUGUGCCCUCGUCGCGCUGGACCUGCAUAUACCAUAGUUGGGCAGGACCCUCGAGAUUGUAGGACGCCAUCCACACCUUCUCCUCCUCGGCGAUCCGUUGUUGAUGGAAGAAGGACUCGCAUCUGUUGAUGAAGGCGAGCGGAUCAGACUUGCCGUCAAACUUGGGGAAGUCCAUCUUCUGGAACCUGGGCGGCCGAUCAUUGUGGUGCUGCCCAUCAUGGGCGGCGGCAGCGCUGGACGAAGAGGAGGACUUGUCCUUCUGGAGUGCGGUGACGGACGACUGCAGGGACGUCACCGUGGCCGUCAAGGCCUCGAUCAUCUUAGCCAGAUCCGCGGUGGUCGGUUCUGCCAUGCCGGAAGUGACCGAGGCGGCAGCGGAUUGUGGCGAUGUCGGGGAGCUGGGCGCGGACACAGGGGGGAAAGCGGCCGGCGGAUGGAGCGUGGACGAGGAGGAGGAUCGCCUGGAACCUGAUACCAAGUUGUCAAGGGCCUCGGUGCCCAAGACAGCAGGACCUCGACUACGUAGUUCGUAGUCGCGGUGGAUAGGAGCGCUAGGGUUUUUGCCUGGCUGCUCUAUGAUGCGGGAGGGGAAGAUAGAAGGAAAUAACUUUAUUGCUUAUCCCUAAAGGGUGCUAACUAUCUGAUAUAUAAAGGCCCCAUGGGCUAAUAACAAACUAGAAACCUAUACGAAAUAAACUAGUCUAGGAACUAAUGUGCCCGGAUCAGGACUCCUGUCCAGCCUGCGCCUUGCCUGAUGCGGCCGUCGGCUGCUCCUGGCCGCGCGGCCCACGUCUGUAAGACGUGCCCCACAUGACACCUAUUAGCUAAAGCGUAAAGCCUACCUCCAGCAGGGCCCUACAUGGAUCCUAUUUAUGAACUAUAACUCAAUUUCCCCGAUGAAUCGAGGAUAACUGCAAUGCAGGUGUGGGCAUAGUUCCUUUAGCCACCAAUUUCAUGAAAAUGUCAGAUAACACCAACGAUAAAUCAGUUAAAUGAUAGACUAUUCAGACACCUAACAAUGGGAUUAUGCAGCCAUAAGCCAUGACAAAAGUUAUGCAUUUGUUCAAUCUAAAAUUUCUCAUCAUGAAAAGCAACAUCUUGAUCACCCCCGAAAGGAAGACAGCCAUAGAAACAGGAGGAUCUCAGAAUGCUAAAGAACCUAGAUGGAACAAAGUUCUUGUGAGCAUGAAAUAAACUCUAUCUCAGCAGGCAAAACAUAAAAAAUGGUGCAAUUAACUAGGACGAAAACAUACAUGGACUCACAAGUAGCUCCAUAAUUACCGUAACACAUCCUCCUGACAAAUGUUGGAAUGCAAAUAUAACUAUAACGAUAUAAGCAACAAUAGUGGAUUUUACUUUGAAGAUGCACCCAGCAGACCACCAACAAAAACAACAAGAACAACAAAGCCUUUAGUCUCGAACAAAUAGGGGUACACUAGAGCUGAAACUCAUAACAUCUCGAAACCAACUCAUGGCUCUAGCACGUGGAUAGCUAAUUUCCACGUAUCCCUAUCAAUGGCUAGUUUUUCGGUGAUAUUCCAGUCCUUCAAAUCUCUCUUUACGGAUUUCUCCCAUGUCAAGUUUGGUAUACCCGACGUCUCUUGACAUUAUCAGCAUGCUUUAGCCGUCUGCUAUGCACCGGGGCUUCUAGAGGCCCGCGCGGAAUAUGCUCAAACCAUCUGGGCGAUGUUGGACAAGCUUCUCUUCAAUCGGUGCUACCCCAACUCUACCCCGUAUAUCAUCAUUCCGGACACGAUCCUUUUUUGUGUGGCCACACAUCCAUCUCAACAUGCGCAUUUCCGCUACACCUAACUGCUGCACAUGUCGCCUUUUAGUCGGCCAACACUCAUCGCCAUACAACAUUGCAGGUCGGAUCGCCGUCCUAUAGAACCUGCCUUUUAGCUUUAGUGGCACUCUUGUCACAGAGAACGCCAAAAGCUUAGCGCCACUUCAUCCAUUCGGCUUUGAUUCGAUGGCUGACAUCUUCAUCGAUAUCACCAUCCUUCUGCAGCAUUGACCCCAAAUAUCGAAAGGUGUCCUUCUAAGGUACCACCUGCCCAUCAAGGCUAACCUCCUCCUCAUGCCUAGUAGUACUGAAAGCGCACCUCGCGUACUCAAUUUUAGUUCUACUAAGCCUAAAACGUUCCAAUUACAGGGUUUAUCUCCGUAGCUCUAACUUUCUAUUAACCCCCAUCUGACUAUCAUCGACUGGCACCAUGAGAUAACUCCUUGUAUAUCCCUUGUGACCUCAUCCAUCACCAAAGCAAAAAGAUAAGGGCUCAAAGCUGACCCUUGGUGCAUUCCUAUUUUAAUCGGGAAGUCAUCAAUGUCACCAUCACUUGUUUAAACACUUGUGACAACAUUAUCGUGCAUGUCCUUGAUGAGGGUAAUGUUCUUUGUUGGGACCUUGGAUCCCACCACAUGACAUUCCAUGAUAUCUUAUCGUAGGUCUUCUCUAAGUCAAUGAACAUCAUAUGCAGGUCCUUCUUUUGCUCCUUGUAUCUCUCCAUAAGUUGUCGUACCAAGAAAAUGGCUUCAAUGGUGGACCUCCCAGGCAUGAAAUCAAACUGAUUUUUGGUCACGCUUGUCAUUCUUCUUAAGCGAUGCUCAAUGUCUCUCUCCCAUAGCUUCAUUGUAUGGCACAUCAACUUAAUUCCACGAUAAUUAGUACAACUUUGGACACACCCUUUGUUCUUGAAGAUUGGUACUAAUAUACUCCGCCUCCAUUCUUCCAACAUCUUAUUUUCCCAAAAAAUGAGGUUGAAAAGCUUAGUUAGCCAUACUAUCACUAUGUUUUUUAGGCCUCCACACCUCAAUGGGGAUACAAUCAAAGCCCAUUGUCUUGCCUCCUUUCAUCCUUUUUAAAGCCUCCCUGACCUUAGAAUCCUGGAUUCGCCGCACAAAACACCUAUUGAUAUCAUCAAAGGAAUGAUCCAGUUCAAUGGUAGAGCUCUCAUACGCUCCAUUGAACAACUUGUCGGAGUACUCCCGCCAUCUAUGCUUAAUCUCCUCGUCCUUCAACAAGAGCCGAUCUGCUCUGUCUUGGAUGCAUUUGACUUGGUCGACAUCCCUCAUCUUCCUCUCUCGGAUCAUGGCCAUCUUAUAGAUGUCCCUUUCACCUUCUUUUGUAUCUAAGCGCGUAGAGGUCCUCAUACGCCCGACCACUUGCUUCACUCACAGCUCGUUUUGCGGUCUUCUUUGCCACCUUAUACUUCCCUAUGUUGUUUGCACUCAUGUCCGGGUGUAGACGUCUGAAACAGCCUUUCUUCUCCUUAAUAGCCUUCUGGACAUCAUCGUUCCACCAUUAGGUAUCUUUAGCUUCGCUUCUACUUCCCAUGGUCACUCCAAACUCCUCUGAAGCCACCUUAUGAAUGCAGGUCAUUAUCUUCAUCCACAUGUUGUCUGCAUCACCUCCUUCUUCCCAAGGGCCCUCUUUAAUGACCCUCCAUCUCCUUGAAAGCCCGAGCUGCCUCCUCCUUGAGCUUCCACUACUUCGUUCUAGUGAUUUUGGCGCGCUUAUCCCACUGGACACGAAUCCAAAAGCGGAAUUCAGCCACCACGAGCUUAUGUUGAGGGACAACAGUCUUUCCAGGUAUCACCUUACAAUCUAGGCAAGCACGUUUGUCUUCUCUUUUCGAGAGGACGAAAUCAAUCUGGCUAGAGUGUUGACCGCUACUAAAAGUCACUAGAUAUGAUUCUCUUUUUUUUAGAGAGGAUGUUAGCUACGAUCAUGUCAUAAGCUAGAGCGAAGUUUAAGACAUCUCAUCCUUGAUUCAUGAUGCCAUAGCCAAAGCCUCCAUGCACCCCUUCAAAACCCGUGCUAGAUGUACCCACGUGGCCAUUGAGGUCUCCUAUGAAGAGCUUCUCGCCAAUAGGUACACUACUAACCAUGUCCUCCAGGCCUUCCUAGAACCCCCUCUUGGUGUUCUCAUUGUGGCCUACUUGUGGGGCAUACACGCUAAUAACAUUAAGAACUAAGUCCCCAACUACCAGCUUGUCUAGGGUAAUCCGGUCCCCACGCCUCUUGACGUCAACCACUCCAUAUUUGAGGCUCUUGUUGAUCAAGAUACCUACUCCAUUUCUGUUUGCAGUUGUUCCCGUGUACCACAACAUGAAGCCAGUAUCCUCCACCUCUUUCACCUUUUGUCCCCUCCAUUUGGUUUCUUGGACGCAAAGGAUAUCAGCAACUCUCCUCACUUAUGUAUCAACUAGCUCCCGUAGCUUACCUAUCAGGGACCCUACCUUCCAGCUACCUAAGCGGAUCAUACUAGGCUUGGCUAGCUUCCUUACCCUUUGCACUUCUCGAGUCAAAUGUGAAGACAGUUGCUCAUUUUUCACUACACAUGGACGUCGAUGUAGCGCGCCACUAAGGAUGCGACAACCCAAUCCUUGCUCACUUGUCACCGUAUCCAAAUCAAGAUACGGCGCGCCACCAAGUGGGUGACGGCCCAACCCUUGCCCAUUUGACACCACACCCGGGUUCCGAUAUGGCGCGUCGUUAGGAGGGUUACUCCCCAACAUGAUACAAACUGCACAAAUUCAAAGAUAUCAAUUUUUAGAAUCUGAUUUUACUUCCAUUUUGAAAGAGUUAAGAAGGAAUAGGAUAACACAGACAUGCUCAAUAAGCACACAAGAUGAUGAGCAUGAUCUCACAAGAAACGCAAAUACUAAUAUGACUCGAUACCCUUCUAUUCUCUUGGAUCCUCACCCUGGAGGCUUCGCCUGAUGCUGCUCUGUAGCUUCCAGCACCACAGACUGGGACAUGCCGGCGCGGCCUUGAUCUCCAUACAGACACCAGCUCCACUAUCCCCUGGUUAAACCCCUAUCAGCUUCUCCCUCACCUGACGGUACCAUCAAUUCAAUGCUGAGUCCCAUUUUACUCUUGACCCAGCUCUACCCUCUCUCAUCCUAAAGAAGGAUUUGGGAAUGGGGAAUUCCAUGGCCUCAUCCCUCAAUGCUGCUGCCUCUCACCACCUCACACAUGGCAGCAAUUAAUACUUCUGUAGUGUUAGUAACAAGUCAAAGCAACUAUUUAUUGGAGACCUACUUUGCACAAAAUGGUUCAUUCUCUCUCUUCCUAGUAACAAGCUAAGUAAUACCUUGUGAAGAUGCUCUUGGCGUGCAACUAAACCUAAAUUUGCAAGGGAAAUUGCUAACCUUCUGGUUAAGGUUGGAUGGAUAAUUUGGAUUCUGCAAACUCAUGCUUUUAUAGUAGUAAAGUGGUACAGAUACAGAAAAUAAAAACAGAGACCAUGUUGCUCAUAUUGAUGCAAAUACAAGUUCUUUCUCUUGCAAAUAAAUAAAUAAUAGAGAAGGCCACAUAUGCAAAGUAGAACAAGUCGCAUUAAUGUUCUCUGUAUUAUGCAACAAUGAAAUAGCCACACCUGAAUACAAGCUAGGUGCUGGGUAAACAAUGUUCUUGUAUUGUUAGCUUCAGGCCUACACGAACUAAGAGCAAUCAAAAGGCACUUCGACCAUGGAUUUCGAGUCGCUCGACUAGUCGCGACUACUCAUCGACCAGUUCCAGGGCCGACUCAGCCUCCCGACUCGACUCCUGGGAUGAGUCGAGCGACUCGCGCGACUAGUCUUGACUAGUCGCGGUUUUUGGGUCGAACGACUCGAGGCAACGCUGGAUCUGGAGCACUCUCCCGCCGCCGUGCUGCUGAUGCUGCUGCUGUGCUGCCUCGCUGCUGCUGCUGCGCCCUUGCCGCCGCGCUGCUGCUGCUGCUGCUGAAGCUGAAGCGGCAAGAGGAGCAGGCUGGGAGGAGGAGCGGUGGCAAGAGAGCUGCUGCGGGGGAGUUGAGAGAUCCAUCGCUGGGAGGAGUGGUGGACUGGUGGCAAGAGAGUGGCAGCGAAUGUGUGGCGGCUGUGGUGAGGGAGGAGGGAGUGUGGAUGGUGGAUUAGGUCACGGGAGGAGUAUAUAGCUACUAGAUGGGCUUUUGGGCCACAGGGAAGUGCAUAACUAGUGGCCCAUCUCUCAGUUGGCCCUGGUUACUGCUGCUGGUGGUGUGCUCC